rnacentral:rRNA from 1 species
AUUGAACGCUGGCGGCAGGCCUAACACAUGCAAGUCGAGCGGAUGAAGGGAGCUUGCUCCUGGAUUCAGCGGCGGACGGGUGAGUAAUGCCUAGGAAUCUGCCUGGUAGUUGGGGAUAACGUCCGGAAACGGGCGCUAAUACCGCAUACGUCCUGAUGUAGAAAGUGGGGGAUCUUCGGACCUCACGCUAUCAGAUGAGCCUAGGUCGGAUUAGCUAGUUGGUGGGGUAAAGGCCUACCAAGGCGACGAUCCGUAACUGGUCUGAGAGGAUGAUCAGUCACACUGGAACUGAGACACGGUCCAGACUCCUACGGGAGGCAGCAGUGGGGAAUAUUGGACAAUGGGCGAAAGCCUGAUCCAGCCAUGCCGCGUGUGUGAAGAAGGUCUUCGGAUUGUAAAGCACUUUAAGUUGGGAGGAAGGGAAGUAAGUUAAUCCCUUGAUGUUUUGACGUUACCAACAGAAUAAGCAACGGCUAACUUCGUG